CCCCUAUGUUCUAUUUUUAGCCAUGGUGGCCAUCUUGGUUGGUUGGCCGAAUCACCGGACACAAUUUUUAAACUAGUUACCCCAAUGAUGAUUGUUGCCAAGUUUGGUUCAAUUUGGCCCAGAAGUUUCAGAGGAGAAGAUUUUUGUAAAAGAUAACUAAGAUUUACGAAAAAUGGUUAAAAAUUGACUAUAAAGGGCCAUAACUCCUAAAGGGGUCAAU
rnacentral:lncRNA from 1 species